rnacentral:rRNA from 1 species
GCCCUACGGGGGGCAGCAGUGGGGGAUAUUGGACAAUGGGGGAAACCCUGAUCCAGCGAUGCCGCGUGAGGGAAGACGGUCCUAUGGAUUGUAAACCUCUUUAGGCGGGGAGCAAUGCCGGGCACGCGUGUCCGGAGGGAGAGUACCCGCAGAAUAAGCAUCGGCUAACUCCGUGCCAGCAGCCGCGGUAAUACGGAGGAUGCGAGCGUUAUCCGGAUUUAUUGGGUUUAAAGGGUGCGUAGGCGGAUUUUUAAGUCAGCGGUAAAAUGUCCGGGCUCAACCCGGGCCGGCCGUUGAAACUGGGG